rnacentral:rRNA from 1 species
UACAGAGGUCUCAAGCGUUGUUCGGAUUCAUUGGGCGUAAAGGGUGCGUAGGCGGAGCGGUAAGUCGGGGGUGAAAUCUCGGAGCUUAACUCCGAAACUGCAUUCGAUACUGCCGUGCUUGAGGACUGGAGAGGAGACUGGAAUUUACGGUGUAGCGGUGAAAUGCGUAGAUAUCGUAAGGAAGACCAGUGGCGAAGGCGGGUCUCUGGACAGUUCCUGACGCUGAGGCACGAAGGCCAGGGGAGCAAACGGG